rnacentral:rRNA from 1 species
UACGUAGGGGGCAAGCGUUGUCCGGAAUUAUUGGGCGUAAAGAGCGCGUAGGCGGUCCGGUAAGUCGGCUGUGAAAGUCAAGGGCUCAACCCUUGAAAGCCGGCCGAUACUGUCGGACUAGAGUCCGGAAGAGGCGAGUGGAAUUCCCGGUGUAGCGGUGAAAUGCGCAGAUAUCGGGAGGAACACCAGUGGCGAAGGCGACUACCUGGCCUGUUCUUGACGCUGAGGCGCGAAAGCUAGGGGAGCAAACGGG